CUCCCACGGAGACGUAGAGGAGUCCGCUCGCGGGGAUUCCCCGCGCGGCGCUGCGUGUUACUGUGGAGUGGGUGGUUUACUGUACUUGUCCGAAGGCUCACGUAAAAAUAAGUUAAAGAAGUGACAGCAAGUGUGUGCUGCCCUGUUCAGGGUUUUAACACGCACAAGUAACUGAAAUGAAGACGUAGCAGCAGAGAGCAGAGCUAUCUGAGGUGCCUUUAACCAGCGCCUUCCAGUAUUGCUGAAGCGGGGAACCCCCGGGCACCAUCUUUCAAGCAUCAUCUAGAACCCAAUGAAGAUGUCCUGGCUGUCACCAAUAAACCUCAGUUAUUGAUUUCCAUAUAAUAAAAAGAUAAAAUCACAAUAUGGAAAUAUACACAAAGCCAGAGGCAAGAUUUAAUGGACUCCUAAAGACAUCAAGAAUGCCUCUUAUACUCAAGCAUCAAGCCAUACACAGGAAUUUAAGAACCAAGAGGAAGAAGGCUGAAGAUCGGAUUUUGAUUCAUGAUAAAAAUAUGUGAAGGUUAGUGGUUUUGUUUAAUCAUUUAAUCUGAAAACUAGUGUCUGCUUGGGAAAAAAUAUAUAGACUGUUGUAUGCAUAUGUAUACAUGAGGGUACUUCAAAAAGUUCAGGGAAAAUAGAAUUAAAAGACAGUCUAGGAGCUGGCACUGUGUCACACUAGGUUAAUCCUCCGCCUGCAGCGCCAGCAUCCCAUAUGACCGCCAGUUCUAGUCCUGGUUGCUCCUCUUCCAGUCCAGCUCUCUGCUGUGGCCUGGGAAGGCAGUGGAGGAUGGCCCAAGUGCUUGGGCCCCUGCACCCAUAUGGGAGACUUUGAAGAAGCACCUGACUUCUGGCUUCGGAUCGGCGUAGCUCUGGGCGUAGCGGCCAUUUGGGGAGUGAACCAUCAGAAGGAAGACUUUUCUCCCUGUCUCUCUCUCUCUCACUGUCUGUAACUCUGCCUGUCAAAUAAAUAAAUAAAUAAAUAAAAUCUUUUUUUUUUAAAAAAGACAGUCUAUUUUGGUAUAAACAAUUUUGAAAUCAGUGCUUUUGAAGGUUAAUGAAAUUGCAAAAAAUAUGAAAAACAAUGCAUUUCAAUUUUUUUGCACUAAAAUGAAAUUAUCUUUUAAUUCCAUUUCCAUGAACUUUAAGUACCUUCCUUUCUCUCUCUCUCUCUCUUUUGAUCUCUCUUACACAGACACACACACACACACACACACACAUAUUUUUUAAAAGCCUACAUAGUCAUGCAUAUAAAAUUUAGAACAUGAUUUGCUACUAAGAGACUUUUUAAUCUUGUUUUAUUCUAGUUUAAAACAUUCUUUAAAAAAUUAUUUUUUAUAAAGACUUUUAAAAAAGGCAAGAAAAAUUUUGUUUCAUCUUAAACUCAGUCAUCAUCCAGAAUCACACCUUCAUGUGUUUACUUGGAUUUUUUAAAUAAAUAACAAAAAUAAUGCAACUUCUUUCACACUUCUAAUUUCUGACCGCAGAUUAAAUCGUCAGUAAUGGUAUUGCUACAUCCUAGAUCCUGAGUGCUAUUUUUGAACGGAUUAAGGUAAAUUCAGAGCCCCUUAUUGAAGCUUCAGUUCGUAACAAUAUUUGCACAAUAUAGGGAUAGAUAAGCAAGUAUGUCUGUCUAAAAAGAAAUCUAUUUUGGGGCUGAUGUUGUGGCACAGUAGACCUGUGAUGCCAGCAUCUAAUAUGAAGCGCUAGUUUGAAUACAGCUUCCAGUUAAUACACCUGGGAAUGCAGAAGAAUAUUGCUCACGUGGUCACUCAUGUGGGAGACCUAGAUGGAGUUUCAUGUUCCUGGCUU